GUGUCUUUCUGCCACAUUCCUGUCCCAAGCUGCCCUGAGGCUGCUCCUCACUGGGCUGAGGCCCAGGGAACCAUCUGGAACCAGGUCUUAAUCCAAAGGUUGCUCUCAGCUUCCUGUUUGUGGUUGUGAUGUGAACUCAGCUUCCUGCUCUUGCUGCCAGGCCUCUUGAGCAAGACAGACCCUUAUCUCUCCGGAACCGGUCUCAUGGUAUAGUUAUGUCGGGAGAUCAGGCUGGCCUCCAGCUUGCAGCAAUCCUCCUGUCUCUGCCUCUGGAGUACCUGGGUCACCACACCUAGCUAGAAGUCUUUAUUGGUAUGGAAGCUUCCCUCUCUGCACUGGGAGGAGAGGAGCUGGGAUCCUGAAAGUCCCUGAAAUUAAGAACAAAGAUUUAGGUCGAUCAUGCUACUUAGGCUGAAAUCCGAUUACAGUGAGAAGCGCCGCUCAGAAUUAGGCCAGUCAAUCCGGAAAAGAACAGUCAUCAAUACCACUGCAAAAGUAGCUUGCUCUUCAUGGUCAGUGGGAGCAUGAAUCCUGGGCCUCUACAUGGCUUCUGGCAAUAGCAGGAACCACGGAUGUUCACAUGGUUUCCGACAUCAGCACAGAACCUCUGCCUGGCCUCCAGUGGCAUCACCAAUCACAGACAUAACACAGCCUCUGUCAAAGCCUGGGCCCCAGGCACCAUCAUAGCCCUUGGAG
rnacentral:lncRNA from 1 species